CUAACAUGCAGUCGAACGGUGAACACGGAGCUUGCUCUGUGGGAUCAGUGGCGAACGGGUGAGUAACACGUGAGCAACCUGCCCCUGACUCUGGGAUAAGCGCUGGAAACGGCGUCUAAUACUGGAUAUGUGACGUGACCGCAUGGUCUGCGUCUGGAAAGAAUUUCGGUUGGGGAUGGGCUCGCGGCCUAUCAGCUUGUUGGUGAGGUAAUGGCUCACCAAGGCGUCGACGGGUAGCCGGCCUGAGAGGGUGACCGGCCACACUGGGACUGAGACACGGCCCAGACUCCUACGGGAGGCAGCAGUGGGGAAUAUUGCACAAUGGGCGCAAGCCUGAUGCAGCAACGCCGCGUGAGGGACGACGGCCUUCGGGUUGUAAACCUCUUUUAGCAGGGAAGAAGCGAAAGUGACGGUACCUGCAGAAAAAGCGCCGGCUAACUACGUGCCAGCAGCCGCGGUAAUACGUAGGGCGCAAGCGUUAUCCGGAAUUAUUGGGCGUAAAGAGCUCGUAGGCGGUUUGUCGCGUCUGCUGUGAAAUCCGGAGGCUCAACCUCCGGCCUGCAGUGGGUACGGGCAGACUAGAGUGCGGUAGGGGAGAUUGGAAUUCCUGGUGUAGCGGUGGAAUGCGCAGAUAUCAGGAGGAACACCGAUGGCGAAGGCAGAUCUCUGGGCCGUAACUGACGCUGAGGAGCGAAAGGGUGGGGAGCAAACAGGCUUAGAUACCCUGGUAGUCCACCCCGUAAACGUUGGGAACUAGUUGUGGGGUCCAUUCCACGGAUUCCGUGACGCAGCUAACGCAUUAAGUUCCCCGCCUGGGGAGUACGGCCGCAAGGCUAAAACUC
rnacentral:rRNA from 1 species